GCCAUGGUUCAGUGGUAGAGCAUCUGAUUGUCAUGCAGAAGGUCCCAGGUUCAAUCCCUAUCACCUACA
rnacentral:tRNA from 1 species